GCCUCCAUAGUAUAAUGGUAGUACGGCUCCCUUGUAAGGAGUUUAUCUUGGUUCGAAUCUGAGUGGGGGCUUA
rnacentral:tRNA from 1 species